rnacentral:ncRNA from 1 species
CUCUGUUUCCUCAGGAUUCAGGGCGGAAGGAG